rnacentral:rRNA from 1 species
AACGGUCUUUUCGGAGAUAGUGGCGGACGGGUGAGUAACGCGUAAGAAUCUACCUUCAGGUUGGGGACAACCACUGGAAACGGUGGCUAAUACCCAAUGUGCCGAGAGGUGAAAGGCUUGCUGCCUGAAGAAGAGCUUGCGUCUGAUUAGCUAGUUGGUGGGGUAAGAGCCUACCAAGGCGACGAUCAGUAGCUGGUCUGAGAGGAUGAUCAGCCACACUGGGACUGAGACACGGCCCAGACUCCUACGGGAGGCAGCAGUGGGGAAUUUUCCGCAAUGGGCGAAAGCCUGACGGAGCAAUACCGCGUGAGGGAGGAAGGCUCUUGGGUUGUAAACCUCUUUUCUCAGGGAAGAAAAAAAUGACGGUACCUGAGGAAUAAGCAUCGGCUAACUCCGUGCCAGCAGCCGCGGUAAUACGGAGGAUGCAAGCGUUAUCCGGAAUGAUUGGGCGUAAAGGGUCCGCAGGUGGCAUUGUAAGUCUGCUGUUAAAGAGUUUGGCUCAACCAAAUAAGAGCAGUGGAAACUACAAAGCUAGAGUGUGGUCGGGGCAGAGGGAAUUCCUGGUGUAGCGGUGAAAUGCGUAGAUAUCAGGAAGAACACCGGUGGCGAAGGCGCUCUGCUAGGCCAAGACUGACACUGAGGGACGAAAGCUAGGGGAGCGAAUGGGAUUAGAUACCCCAGUAGUCCU